UACGUAGGGUGCAAGCGUUUAAUCGGAAUUACUGGGCGUAAAGCGUGCGCAGGCGGUUUUGUAAGUCUGUCGUGAAAGCCCCGGGCUCAACCUGGGAAUUGCGAUGGAGACUGCAAGGCUUGAAUCUGGCAGAGGGGGGUAGAAUUCCACGUGUAGCAGUGAAAUGCGUAGAGAUGUGGAGGAACACCGAUGGCGAAGGCAGCCCCCCUGGGUCAAGAUUGACGCUCAUGCACGAAAGCGUGGGGGAGCAAACAGG
rnacentral:rRNA from 1 species